CCUGGGGUGGGGAAGACGAAGCGCCACAGGGUCGCCCUGCCCAAGAUGGCGGGCAGCAUGGUGGGGGUCUGCAACUGUCAAGACUUUCAGCCAGGUGUAAGUCGAGCCUGAGGUGAUUGGCCACUACCUAGAUGCCUUACGUGUUUUCUAUCACUAAAUCCUCCCAGCCAACCUUUUGAGCCAACGCCCCCAUCUCAGUUUCACAGUUGAGCAGCUUGAGGUUCGGAGACAACAAAGCGGAGCCUUGUCAGCCCUCCCGAGGAGAGUCGGACAUCUCCAGGCUGCCGAGCCAAAGACUGUCCAGUGCAUCUGCAGCUUCUCCAUCUUCCUUGCUGACAACCCCUUUGGAGCAGAAAUCCCGAUGCAAAAGGCCUUCGGGUGACCGGGACACAAUGACCCUGAGCUGCUCCUGGUCACCAUGCAUCCCUGCUCAUGGGAGAAGCCUAUUGGUUCUAAGGUGAGACAGUGUCCCUUUGAUGUUCACCAGUUUUGCAAGAGGCUGCAACGAGAGGAUAGGCUUCCUGCCCGAAUCAAAAGUGCAUGAGGCCCCCUCGCCGGGCCAGCCUCCUAACAAACCACAAGCGUGUGGGGUGGCGCCUCCCUGGGUGGUUGUGAGGCCUGCCUCUUGGCAGUGACUGGAGGCUACCGGUUCCCGCCCUCCUCAAAGCCAGCACCUGGAAAACUACCUGCUUAGCAGGAACCAAACUCCAAACACAGCCUGGUUACUGGAGAUGAGGAAAAGCAAAUGAACUUGUAAUUUCAUUAUUUCUACCCAAAAGCGUCAGCAUUCAGAACAGACCUAAACCUGCUGGACUGUUAAGCACUGCUCUUUUGGCUAGCUCUGCCCCAUCUACGAUCAAACUAAUUUAAAAGUUUCCAGAAAGCCCUGCCCUGUUUCAAGCAGGGCCGACAAUUAGAUAGCCAGGCUGUUCCCAGUAAUGAAGCUCACUAUCAGUCCACAAGAUCGGCUUUAUCUUCAUACGCAUGAAAGGACUUGUUUGGUCCCUGGCUUCGCCCUCUGCUCUCAAUGUGAAGUGGAAGAUGUAGUCACUCAUCUCAAGGUUCAUAAGAUUAAAGGGAAAGAGACCUAACAAGAGCCUGUAUGUGAGCAAGAAACUGGCAAGAUGAAGUAUAACUGUAAGAGGAAUCACUGCCACGUGCCCAAACCUGGGCAGACAAGUACCUGGAGGGAAGCACCAGGAAGGGAAGGGAGGGCCAGCCAGAGAGACUCCUGCAGGCCCAGACUCCGGAGAAGGGAGGAGGCAGGGCCUCGGGUCCGCACGGGAAAACAAGGGGGUCAGGGUAGGGGGGCUACAGUGUUUCCAAGGGAGGAUGAGGUGAGGUCACGAGUUGGCUCUGGCAUUAAACAGCCCUGGCUGUGGAGCCCAGGAUCACUGCUCACAAGCUGAGGUCUCCUGGCAGAGUCACUUGACUUCUCUGUGUCUCAGUGCCCUCACUUAUAAAUGGGGAAGGCAAGUGUCCACUGGCAGAACACCAGUAAGGGUUACACGAAGAUGCAGGUGAACGCUCAUCAUCUUCCUUGUCGCAACUCUGCCGAUCAACUCUGUCUGGCACCAUCUAGAGGGCACCUCUUGUUUCCUUCUUCCCCAACAACCUCCGUGGAUAAUUUGGUACCACUGUGGUGCAGCUGCUGGCAGAUUACUGCCAGGUGGCAUCACCCGUGCCCUACGCACGUAUGUUGUAUGUAACUUAGAAACCACUACAGGAGACCAGUGUUUCCCCAAGUUCUCUCACCCUGGGAACUGAAGGCAUCCAGCUGAAGACGGAAAAGGCACAGCGAGGAGAGCAGGCCCACGGGUCCCCCCGGGCGUGGGGCGUGGCCGGGGCAGCGACGGA